rnacentral:rRNA from 1 species
AUGAACGCUAGCUACAGGCUUAACACAUGCAAGUCGAGGGGCAGCAUGAACUUAGCUUGCUAAGUUUGAUGGCGACCGGCGCACGGGUGAGUAACACGUAUCCAACCUGCCGAUGACUCGGGGAUAGCCUUUCGAAAGAAAGAUUAAUACCCGAUGGCAUAGUUCUUCCGCAUGGUAGAACUAUUAAAGAAUUUCGGUCAUCGAUGGGGAUGCGUUCCAUUAGGUUGUUGGCGGGGUAACGGCCCACCAAGCCUUCGAUGGAUAGGGGUUCUGAGAGGAAGGUCCCCCACAUUGGAACUGAGACACGGUCCAAACUCCUACGGGAGGCAGCAGUGAGGAAUAUUGGUCAAUGGACGAGAGUCUGAACCAGCCAAGUAGCGUGAAGGAUGACUGCCCUAUGGGUUGUAAACUUCUUUUAUACGGGAAUAAAGUGAGGCACGUGUGCCUUUUUGUAUGUACCGUAUGAAUAAGGAUCGGCUAACUCCGUGCCAGCAGCCGCGGUAAUACGGAGGAUCCGAGCGUUAUCCGGAUUUAUUGGGUUUAAAGGGAGCGUAGGCGGACGCUUAAGUCAGUUGUGAAAGUUUGCGGCUCAACCGUAAAAUUGCAGUUGAUACUGGGUGUCUUGAGUACAGUAGAGGCAGGCGGAAUUCGUGGUGUAGCGGUGAAAUGCUUAGAUAUCACGAAGAACUCCGAUUGCGAAGGCAGCCUGCUGGACUGUAACUGACGCUGAUGCUCGAAAGUGUGGGUAUCAAACAGGAUUAGAUACCCUGGUAGUCCACACAGUAAACGAUGAAUACUCGCUGUUUGCGAUAUACAGUAAGCGGCCAAGCGAAAGCGUUAAGUAUUCCACCUGGGGAGUACGCCGGCAACGGUGAAACUCAAAGGAAUUGACGGGGGCCCGCACAAGCGGAGGAACAUGUGGUUUAAUUCGAUGAUACGCGAGGAACCUUACCCGGGCUUGAAUUGCAACUGAAUGAUGUGGAGACAUGUCAGCCGCAAGGCAGUUGUGAAGGUGCUGCAUGGUUGUCGUCAGCUCGUGCCGUGAGGUGUCGGCUUAAGUGCCAUAACGAGCGCAACCCUUAUCGAUAGUUACCAUCAGGUUAUGCUGGGGACUCUGUCGAGACUGCCGUCGUAAGAUGUGAGGAAGGUGGGGAUGACGUCAAAUCAGCACGGCCCUUACGUCCGGGGCUACACACGUGUUACAAUGGGGGGUACAGAAGGCAGCUACACGGCGACGUGAUGCUAAUCCCGAAAGCCUCUCUCAGUUCGGAUUGGAGUCUGCAACCCGACUCCAUGAAGCUGGAUUCGCUAGUAAUCGCGCAUCAGCCACGGCGCGGUGAAUACGUUCCCGGGCCUUGUACACACCGCCCGUCACACCACGAAAGUCUGCAACACCCGAAGCCGGUGGGCUAACCGCAAGGAGGCAGCCGUCGAAGGUGGGGCAGAUGAUUGGGGCU